UUUAGCUUAAAUUUCAUCCCUGAAUUUAUAGAGAAAAUAUUAAAAAUCAGCUACGUUCAUAGAUCUUUGGGAGAUACUCAUUUUACAGAGUGAGAGCUAGGUGGAACCUCAUGAAAACAUUUUGUGUUUUCCCUGACUUUAGCAAGGGAUGCUUAUCUAGGCCAGAUAUUUUAUCUUCUUGAAGAUGUCUAAACACGGAGACUAUACCACAUUUCUCAAUAUUCUAAACAAGUGCUUUAUCAUCCUCAAGAAGGCCCAUUCCUAGGUUGAUAUGAAAGCUUUCGAACUGUAAUUUAAGCCUAUUUCCUUUGUUUUAUCUUCACAGACAUGAAAAGAAAUUGAUUGGCAUUCACCUCUUAGAAACUCUUCUGCUUUGACAAAAGAUGUUAAAAGAUUCCUUUAGUAUCUAAUUCCAGCUUCUUUAAAAAUAACCUUUCAUCAUCACACAAAGAGAAAGAUUUCCAGUUAGGCAGACUGCCAUUAUUGGUCCCUUAAAAGUACAAUCUUAAGACCUCUCAAAUUUCCCAGUCAAGAAAUGUCCUGACCAGCUUUUGACAACUUCUCUUCCUUGAUGUCAUCCAGGGUUGGAUUUUUUAAAAUUGUGCUAAUGUUUUUAAUGUUUAGCAGAAGAUCAACCCUCUUCACAAAGCAUACAAUGCAGUACUGUUAACUGGAGACAUAAUGUAGGGUAGAUCUCUAAAACUUAUUCAUCUUGCAUAAUUGAAACUUGAUGUGGGAUUUUUAAAGAGCAGGGUGUAUCAGGCAUACAUUUCCAGUGAUUUAAAUGGCUUCUCAUUUAUCUUUCACCGGAUUCAGGCUGCAAGAAAUUGACUCAUUUGGAAUAUCAUGGCUGUAAUGCUUUUAGCAAAAUAGAUGAAGUAUUACUGCCCUUAACUCAUGUGGCUAAACUGUGUCUUCUACAACAAAGAGGGAGAUAAUUCUUCAUACAUAACAAAUCUGAUUAUAUAGGGAAAGGCAUAAGACACACAACCAGAAGUUGAAUUGUUCUUCAUCGUUGCUCUCGGACCAUUCCUCAAAUCACCAAGAACGGGCCGACAAUUCCAGACUUCUGCCUGCAGGCCAUUGAAGCACUAGACGAAUUUGAAACCUGUGGAGUUUGAGGGAUGAGAUUAAGCCCACCAAUUGCCCCCUCGACUCCAGCAAAGUAGCUGGGCCUCCAGAUGCUCUUAGGAGAUCAGUAACCUGUGAAACUGGCCCUGGUGUGUUUCCUGAAGCAGCACUUUGGCUCUACUGGUCCUUGAUGGAAGGAGAGACCCAGACCUAAAGGGGGAAGGAGUUACCUUUCCAAGAGGGCAGUAGCGUAUCGAUGGGAGAACCCAUGAGUGUUUGUUACUCCAUGUCUGCAAGUGAACCAUAGAAGCAUCAUCUGUGACUAUUUCUUUCCUCUUCAAUGGAAAAUAGAUGUCCUAUAAUUUUCCUACAUGUGAGUUACUUGGUCACUGGCUUCCUGUGCUGAUGGUCACACCACCGUGAAAGUUUUGGAAAAGGUGCUUGCUAGAACAAUGGGAAAACCGCUCCCUGAAUGAUAUGAAGAAGUGCAUCCCGGUGACACAAGGAUAAGCUGUGGUGGACAGAGAGAUGUGUGCCCCCGUCUCCUUUUCGGGAGGACGUGUGUCCAGCAAUUGUUAUCUUCAGCAGAUGUCCUCUACCUCUCAGCGUCUUUGGGGUCACCUCUCCCUCAGGUGGUACAGGAAGGACUGAUGGAGGGACACAUGUACAGGUACUGAGCCCAAGGGAGUGCCCUACAUUCUGAGCACUAAGCUUAGUCUCAGGUCUGUAGCCGGACAACCCAACCUACAGAGUAUUAUGUGACCGGGGGCAUUUUUGUGGGAUUAAAACUAGUGAAGCAUUA